ensembl:lncRNA
AACCCAAGGCAGGAGCAGUACAAACUCCUCUUGAUCUGUCAAUAUUCUCAGGGUGCCUCCUGCUGGGUGGUCCAGCGCUGGCUAGGAGGAUGGUACUCCAAACUUCCACUCAAAUACAGCUGCUGGAGACAAGCUCUAAGGACGUGGAUCGCAGUGUUGCCUGUUAACAUGGCUCUUGUGGGGGAGCACAUCAGGUUACUUUGGACUAGCACCUUGCAAUGGAGGGAAGAAAGGGACAUGUGAGAUGGAGUCUCUUCCUGGCUUACAGAUAACCCAUCCUGCAGUAACACAAGUGUGGACUCAGGGGAAUCCUGUGCUGCAGGAUACGUGCCCUGCAAGAUAUCACUCGUGAAGGGUAGUAACACCGCUCUUGGCAGUGGAACCUGGGCAAUAAGGAAGAAGAGUUUGAAAUUCUCCAUGGGGAGGAGAAGUGGGGAAACCCACUGAGACGAUGCGUAUGACUGGAAUGUUAGUGUUGCUGGUUACAACCCAUUGAGGUAGGGGAAAAGAAAAAAAAAAAAGUGGGCAGGGUGGCAAUUCACAUUAGACCAGCAGUUCUCAAGCUGUGGGUCAGGACUCCAAAGUGGGUUUCACCCCUAUUUUAAUGGAGUCUCCAGGGCUGGCUUAGACUUGCUGGAGCCUGGGGCCAAAGCCUGAGGGCCUCUGCCCUGGGCAGUCAGGUUCAGGUUGCAGGCGCCUUGUCUGGGCUGAAGCCUUUGGGCUUCGAUUUUGGCCUCCCCACACAGGGUGGGGGGACUCAGGCCUUGGCUUGUCCUCCGCACCCAGAGCGGUGGGGCUCAGGAGGGCUCAGGUUUUGGUCACCCCCCCUCAUGAGGUCGUGAAGUAAUUUUUGUUGUCAGAAGGGUGUCAGAGUGCAAUGAAGUUUGAGAACCCCUGCAUUAGACACAUCAUAGCCUGUUUUAUGUUGCUGGUUAUUGAGAACCCCAGGACCUCGGAUGGAUAGGAACCAAUUUGUUAACUGACACAGCCCAGCAGAUGAACUGGUGGGGGGCUGGCACAGUUCACUGAAUCCAAGCCAAAGAGCAGGAAAUGUUUCUCCUUUUGCACCUGUCUGUGACUUGUGAGAAGAAAUUAGGUUAGCACGGGAGACUUCCUGUUGGGAGACAGGUGUGGGAGGUCUCACUAGCCAGGAGUAAAUCGACUUUGGAGAUUUUGAAAAAUUCUAAAUACUUUUGUAUUAGAAAAGUUUUGUACCCAACUAGAGGUGACUUUAUUGUGGUCUUCCUUGUGGUGGAUAAAGAUGAACUGAUCACCGGACUGGAUGUCCGUGGUUGCUCUGGGGCCAGUGAUCAUGACUUGACUAUUCAGUAAGGAGGUUUUGAAACAAAUUAAACAGCAAUAAGUUACCAGAACCAUCUGAAGAAACUCAAAUGUGAAAUUUGCAGUACUACUAACUAACUGUGUUUAUGUAACCUGUCCUUUAAAUCAGCUUCCAUACCAGAUGCCUGGAGGAUAGCUAAUAUGACACCAAUGCAUAAAAAAGGCUCCAGAGACGCUCCCUGGAAUUACAGGCCACUAAGGCUAACUUCAGUACCAGGCAAUCUUGGUAAAAUUAUAAUAAAGAGC